rnacentral:rRNA from 1 species
AGUCACGCUGUAAACGAUGUCGAUUUGGAGUUUGGGGGCAUGACCCUUGGGCUCGGAGCUAACGCGUUAAAUCGACCGCUGGGGAGUACGGCCGCAAGGUUAAAACUCAAAUGAAUUGACGGGGGCCCGCACAAGCGGUGGAGCAUGUGGUUUAAUUCGAUGCAACGCGAAGAACCUUACCUGGUCUUGACAUCCAUAGAAUCUUCAGAGAUGAGAGAGUGCCUUCGGGAGCUAUGAGACAGGUGCUGCAUGGCUGUCGUCAGCUCGUGUUGUGAAAUGUUGGGUUAAGUCCCGCAACGAGCGCAACCCCUAUCCUUUGUUGCCAGCACGUAAUGGUGGGAACUCAAAGGAGACUGCCGUUGAUAAAGCGGAGGAAGGUGGGGACGACGUCAAGUCAUCAUGGCCCUUACGACCAGGGCUACACACGUGCUACAAUGGCGUAUACAAAGGGAUGCGAAGGUGCGAACUGGAGCGGACCUCACAAAGUACGUCUAAGUCCGGAUUGGAGUCUGCAACUCGACUCCAUGAAGUCGGAAUCGCUAGUAAUCGUGAAUCAGAAUGUCACGGUGAAUACGUUCCCGGGCCUUGUACACACCGCCCGUCACACCAUGGGAGUGGGUUGCACCAGAAGUAGAUAGCUUAACCUUCGGGAGGGCGUUUACCACGGUGUGGUUCAUGACUGGGGUGAAGUCGUAACAAGGUAACCA